AAAUCUUGCUUUUCUUUAAUAAUCUGCCACUAGACUUUAUAUCAAGUAGCCAUCAUAAAGGACAAACGAGAAAAUGAAGACCUUAUUGGUAGUUCUGUUGGCUUCUGUGGUCCUCCUUGGUAUGACGUCAGCACAGAGUUUUAAUCUUUUCCCUACCUUAGCCUCAUCGACAGCGGGUGGUCUUUUAACUUUAGGAGCAUUUGGAUUACCAUUUCUCCUUGCAAAUGGAGGUGGUAAUCUCUUUGGAGGAGGAGGAGGUGGUAAUUUCUUUGGAGGAGGGGGAAGAGGACCACCAGUGAACUUUCAGCCACUUAAUAUACCACCAUUUCCUCAACCAUUCAUUGGGCGAUUUCCACCAAGGCAUUGGUAAUUUGGAAGUCCUGCUAAAUUGAUAUAUGGAAUAUGUGCUGAAAUUCGUGCUGUCAGUUUAUUGUUAUGUUAGUUUGUCUAUUUUUUUUUAUUAAAAAUUAA